rnacentral:rRNA from 1 species
AGCAGUAGCCGCGGUAAUACGAAGGGUGCAAGCGUUAAUCGGAAUUACUGGGCGUAAAGCGUGCGUAGGCGGCUUCUUAAGUCGGAUGUGAAAUCCCUGAGCUUAACUUAGGAAUUGCAUUCGAUACUGGGAAGCUAGAGUAUGGGAGAGGAUGGUAGAAUUCCAGGUGUAGCGGUGAAAUGCGUAGAGAUCUGGAGGAAUACCGAUGGCGAAGGCAGCCAUCUGGCCUAAUACUGACGCUGAGGUACGAAAGCAUGGGGAGCAAACAGGAUUAGAGACCCCAGUAGUCCCUGUCUCUUAUAC